AUUGAACGCUGGCGGCAUGCUUUACACAUGCAAGUCGAACGGCAGCACGGGGGCAACCCUGGUGGCGAGUGGCGAACGGGUGAGUAAUAUAUCGGAACGUACCCGGAAAUGGGGGAUAACGUAGCGAAAGUUACGCUAAUACCGCAUAUGCCCUAAGGGGGAAAGCGGGGGACUCGCAAGAACCUCGCGUUUUCGGAGCGGCCGAUAUCGGAUUAGCUAGUAGGUGAGGUAAAGGCUCACCUAGGCGACGAUCCGUAGCUGGUCUGAGAGGACGACCAGCCACACUGGAACUGAGACACGGUCCAGACUCCUACGGGAGGCAGCAGUGGGGAAUUUUGGAC
rnacentral:rRNA from 1 species